GGGGGGCGCCCGCCCCCCGGCCAGCCGCGGGGAGCGGCCCAGUUGGGGUCCCUCCCCUCGGCGCACGAACAAAACCCCGGCGCGGGACGCGCCAAGGACCAUGAGAACAAAGAGAGCGCCCCGUCGGCCCCGGGAACGGGGCGCGGGGGGGCGUCUUCUUUCGGUAUGAGCCAAAAAA
rnacentral:rRNA from 1 species